rnacentral:rRNA from 1 species
UACGGAGGGUGCAAGCGUUGUCCGGAUUUAUUGGGUUUAAAGGGUGCGUAGGCGGUCCAUUAAGUCUGGGGUGAAAGCCCGUUGCUCAACAACGGAACUGCCCUGGAAACUGGCGGACUUGAGUACAGACGAGGGUGGCGGAAUGGAUGCUGUAGCGGUGAAAUGCAUAGAUAGCAUCCAGAACCCCCGAUUGCGAAGCAGCUGC